GCGCAUCCCAUACCAUGAACUCCAACAAGAAAACCCGCUGAACUUAACCA
rnacentral:rRNA from 1 species